UUCCAGUGCGUUAGGUUCCAGUGUGUUAGGUUCUACUGCUUUAGGUUCCAGUGUGUUAGGUUCUACUGCUUUAGGUUCCAGUGCGUUAGGUUCUAGUGCUUUAGGUUCUAGUGCUUUAGGUUCUAGUGCGUUAGGUUCUAGUGCGUUAGGU